rnacentral:rRNA from 1 species
AACGAACGCUGGCGGCAGGCCUAACACAUGCAAGUCGAGCGAGGACUUCGGUUCUAGCGGCGGACGGGUGAGUAACGCGUGGGAAUGUGCCCUUCUCUACGGAAUAGCCCUGGGAAACUGGGAGUAAUACCGUAUACGCCCUAUUGGGGAAAGAUUUAUCGGAGAAGGAUCAGCCCGCGUUGGAUUAGGUAGUUGGUGGGGUAAUGGCCUACCAAGCCGACGAUCCAUAGCUGGUUUGAGAGGAUGAUCAGCCACACUGGGACUGAGACACGGCCCAGACUCCUACGGGAGGCAGCAGUGGGGAAUCUUAGACAAUGGGGGCAACCCUGAUCGAGCCAUGCCGCGUGAGUGAUGAAGGCCUUAGGGUUGUAAAGCUCUAUCAGCUGGGAAGAUAAUGACGGUACCAGCAGAAGAAGCCCCGGCUAACUCCGUG